AAGAAAAGAAAAAACAAAAAAGCCAUGAAGCGCGGUGGUCACCCCUUUAAUCCCAGCACUUGGGUAGCAGAGGCAGGUGUUUCUCUAUAAGCUCAAGGUCAGCUUAGUCUACAGAACAAGUUUCAGCACAGCCAAGGCUACACACACACACACACACACACACACACACACACACACACACACACACACAAACCCUGUCUUGAGAAACCAAAGAGGAGGGGGAAAGGUAGAAAAGGAAGAGGAAAAUGUUUUAAUACAAUCUCACAAGUGUUAGUGAAGAAGGAACUAACAAGUCAGCCCCAGAAGCCCGUAUAAAAUUCUUCCUGCUGUCAGUUACAAAAAGUCUUAUUUUUCAAGCACAGAGCUGGAUUGUUUUUGUAAUGAAAAAGAAUGCAACAUUUCCCUUCAACAAACACUGAAUCAUUGUGUGGAAGGACCUUGGAGGCAUAUACACCACAAACCAAGGCUACACCACUGCCUGUAAAAAGAUUUCAUCCGUCAGGUACAGGGCAAAUGAUGCAGAGCAAAAUGGCACAGAUGUGAGAAAUAGCAUGGAGCCAGCACACAGCAAGGCUACAAGUAGUAUUUGUUAGUGGAACUACUUUGUGUGCCUAAAGAUAAGCUGAGAAGUUAAGAGUCAGAGCACGAGGAAACCUACAUUUAGUAAAAUGAUCUAGCCACUUUGGGAAAUCCACAGCUGCCCAAAAAGCUAAACACAGAGUUACGUAUGGAUCGGUAAUGUCACUCAGAGGUGUCACCCAAGAGAAUGGAAGCGUGUCUGUUCCACAAGAGCAGAAAGGGCCAUGCUAGUGCAGGCCAUUAUGGUGGCCACAAGAGGAACCCAACCAAACCAAUGCCUACCUGCUAGCAGAGCCCCGUGGGCCAGGUGCCUAGGAGGUAGAGCAGGAGGAUCAGGAGUUCCAGGCCUUCUUCAGAUACAUAGUGAGUCUGAAGGACGCCUGAGUUUGGUCCCUGGAACUAAUUAAUCCCUCAUGGAAGAAGGAGAGAACCAACUCUUGCAAACUGAUCUCAUUUCCAUAUGUGCAUGCCUGCCCCCCAAAUAAAUUAAUGUUUUAAAAGGACAAAUGUCCAGCAAUUGAUUUAAAAAAAAAAGUAACCAAGAUUUUGAACAGUUGUACAGUGAAUUAUUAUUCAAUUACUAAAGGAAUGAAGUACCCAUACAUGCCACAUUCAGAUGAAUAUUUAAAACAUGUUAGAUGGGCAGGCAGUGGUGGUGCAUGCCUUUAAUCCCAGCACUUGGGAGGCAGAGGCAGGUGGAUCUCUGAAUUCAAGGCCAGCCUGGUCUACAGAGUGAGUUCCAGGACAGCCAGGAACACACAGCUACACAGAGCCUGUCUUGAAAACAAAAAGCAAAAAACAAAAACAAACAAACACCAUGUUAGAUCAAAGAAUCAGUCAUAAAGUGCCAAAUCCUAUAUGAUUCUGUCUCACUGAAAUGUGGGGAAUAGACAUGUCUACAGAAGCAGACCUGGUUUAGUUGCUGCUCCUUGGGUGGAAUAAGGGCUGGGGAGUGGCUUUAGCCCAUACCGGGUUCUCUGGGGAUUGUGUGGAGACACGAUGGACGUGGUAAAUGCUAGUCAGAGAGCACAGGGUUUCCGAACAGCCGGAAAUCAGUUAAUAGAAACAGAUUAUAACACUGGUGUAGCAGAAAUUUAUCUGGCAUGAAUUCCCGAGUGAUAACAUAUAGGCUUUUGUAAAUAAAUAGUCAGUGCUUGUUAUCUGAGGUGUUCUGAGUGGUCCUUCCAGAGGAUGCACAGAGCCUUUGCAUAACUUAGUCCUGAGACAUACUUGGCAAACUAGGAAGCCUUGUUUGGCUGAGAAUUGCUUAGGUAAUGGUUCCUUCAGACAGCUCCUAGGUCAGAGGGGGUUUUGAUAUUCAGAAAUUGGCUUGGUAAUAGUUCCUUUUGUGUAGGAAUAAAGAGGCUUCUGCAGUGAUUAGGAAUUCAGCCCAUCAGAGGCUGAAGAAGCCAUAAUAAAUCCUGUAGUUGAUCCUCAUAGCCACAUUACUCAAAACACUGACAUUCUUGAAAGUGGCGGGGUUUUUUUGUUUUUUGUUUUUUUGUUUUUUCGAGACAGGGUUUCUCUGUGUAGCCCUGGCUAUCCUGGAACUCACUUUGUAGACCAAGCUGGCCUCUAACUCAGAAAUCUGCCUGCCUCUGCUUCCCAAGUGCUGGGAUUAAAGGAGUGUGCCACCAUGCCUGGCUUGGUUUUUUUUUUUUUUUUUUUUGGUUUUUCGAGACAGGGUUUCUCUGUAUAGUCCUGGCUGUCCUGGAACUCACUUUGUAGACCAGGCUGGCCUCGAACUCAGAAAUCUGCCUGCCUCUGCCUCCCAAGUGCUGGGAUUAAAGGCAUGCGCCACCACGCUGGGCUUUUUUGUUUUGUUUUGUUUUUAAGGAGAGUGUCUCAUGUGGCCCAGGUUGACUCUGAACUCACAAUGUAGUCCAGGCUAGCCUUAAACUCCAGAUCCCCUUUUCUCUGCUUCCCAGGUGCUGGGAUUACACAGGUCUGCCACCAUACCUGAUUGCUAAGACAAUAUUUUAUAUUCUAACAACAAAUAACAAAAACAAAACAAGCAAACUAAAAGGUUAGGUUGGGCUGUAGAUGUUGCUUAAAUGAUAAACUGCUUCCUUAGCAUGCAGGAAACUCUGAGUCCAUUCUGCCAUACUGAGUUAAUUGGACACGAUGGUACACACCAGCAGUGCAGCUCUCAGGAGGUUCCAGGGCAUCCUUGGGGACACUGUCUCAAUAUUAAUAUACAUAUAUGAAUUCAUAAACAUAAUCCUGUCCAAAAGUUUGACUGCACAGACACACAAUAAAUAAAUGAUUGUAAUUUAAAAAUUAAAUAUAUAUAUAUAGUUCCUAGUUGGUGGAAGUGUUUUGAGAAAGGUUAGGAGAUGUGGCCUUGUUGGAGGAGUGUCGUUGGGGGUGGGCUUUGAGGUUUCAAAAGCCCAUGGCAGGCCCGGAAUCUGUCUCUUUCUUUCUACCUGCUACCUGUAGAUGAGAUGUAAGUUAUAACUACUGCUCCAGUGCCUUGCCUGCAGGCUGCCAUCCUCCCUGCUAAGGGUCAAGCAUUCAACCUCUGAGAUUGUAAGCACUCUCCCAAUUAAAUGGUUUUUUUUUUGUU